AUUCAAAUAAAAAAGGUGUUCGUAGUUAUUAGAUAUAUGAUUUUUUCUUACCAGAAUUUAAUAAUUUUAAAAUCCAA
rnacentral:tRNA from 1 species